GACAGAGGGUGCGAACGUUGUUCGGAAUUACUGGGCGUAAAGCGUGCGCAGGCGGUUCGUCGUGUCCGAUGUGAAAGCCCCGGGCUCAACCUGGGAAUGGCAUUGGAAACUGGCGGACUCGAGUGUGGCAGAGGGGGGUGGAAUUCCGCGUGUAGCAGUGAAAUGCGUAGAGAUGCGGAGGAACACCGAUGGCGAAGGCAGCCCCCUGGGCUGACACUGACGCUCAGGCACGAAAGCGUGGGGAGCAAACAGG
rnacentral:rRNA from 1 species